AUGAAGGGGUGGGGUGCUAACCUGGGUCGUGACCUCCGUGAGCGCAAGAAGGAGCUGCUAUCCGCGAUCCAGGCCCUUGACCUGCGGGCUGAUACGUUGGGUCUCUCUCCGGACGAGUGGCUUUCCCGGUAUGACCUGGAAGACCAGCUCUCCGUGAUUUACACCGAUGAGGAGGCCUAUUGGCGCCUCCAUGGUGCCCAGAAAUGGGUCUUGAAGGGCGACGCGAAUACGGCAUACUUCCAGGCUAUCGCCAACGGUCGCCGUAGACGCAACACCAUCCCUCUCUUGUGGGAUGGUGAGACUCUCCUUCAAGACCCUCGCGUCAUCUGGUCCCACGUCGACGGAUUCUAUAGAUCCUUAUUCUCUGCCGCCCCUAGAAGCGGCCUCUCUCUUGCCCCCGAUUGCUGGUCUGGUCCCCAGUUGGUGUCUGAGUCGGAGAACGCGACCCUUACGGCCCCCUUUUCCGAGCAGGAGGUCUGGGAUGCCAUCAAGGGCAUGAACCCAACCCCGGCGCCGGGACCGGAUGGCCUCCCGGUUAAAUUCUUCCAGACCUUCUAG
rnacentral:rRNA from 1 species